ensembl:lncRNA
ACACACUCUUCUGGCACACCUCUCGGGGAGCCCCUUCCCGUGACUCUCCGUUUUCCUUUCUCCGCAGCGCUCCUGCCUUCUUUCUGCCCUCCCUCUGCCCUCACGCCUGUGAACCCCAACCUCACACCACUGCGCUCAGUCUCCAGCUGCACAGUGCCCUGGGUUCUGCCGUCGUCCGUCCGUCCUUGCCUCCUUCCUUCCUCCCUCCCUAGCAGGCUUCGCUCUCCCACAUGUCCCCCUUCGUGCUGUCUGCUGUCUCCCCUACCGCCUGCCCCUUCCUUUCCUGUGGACCUCCCACCCGGUGCGCUCUGCUCACAUCCCCACAAGCCAGCUUCCUUUCGGCCAGCACUCCCGUCUCUCUCACCCUCCUGUCGCAUGCGUCCUCGCUUCCGGCACCGUCACCUUGGCCCUGCGCUCCCUACCCACCGCCAGUGAAUCCCAACCACCCCCAUCCUUCCAGGGGCCUAGUCGGCUACAUCCAUUUGCUCGCUGUCUGCCUCGUCCUGGGUCCUCGACCCGCACCCACGGCUGACGUUCCUGACUCUGAGGCCUCCGUCCACCCCGACUCAGGGGCCCGUGUGCUCAGGCUCGUGCUCCACCUCUCUGCCCAGCUCUCCACUCUCUGCCCCUUCCACCCAGUGAUUCUCACCCGAGGACGCAUGGCCCCCAAGGCAGCCUAUCAGCAGCAUCUUUCGGGCGUGUUUUUGUGUUUUCUUUUUCCUUUGUUUUUGGUUUUGUUUUUGUUCGAGCAGAGCACUGCUCCCCCUCAGAUGUUCUGAUAGGCCUCCCUUGGGGUCCAUGCCCGCAGCCCCCCGCCUCGGGUGAAAUCCACCCCCCCCACCCCCCCCCCCCCCCCCGAGAAGAAUCACUGUUGUGGAAGCCCCACCUGCCUCCCUGGGCUGCACUCUCCCCGUGGGCGCCUCUAGCCUUCCGUCGGUUGCCACUGGCGCUUGCUUGUGCCUCAAAGACCCCAGCAUUGCCCCCACGCUGCCAUCAGCCCGGCGCUGUCCUCUUGGCACCAGCGCAGGCCCUCGCCUGAACGCUCACCGACACCCGACACGCCCGAACCCCAGUCUCCGGUAGAGCUCUCUUCUUGUCACGCCCCGCCCCGCCCCCCAUCAACACCGCUCUAGCCCCCAGCCUCUAGGACUCUCAGGCACUGUGACAGUAUCUUUCCUUGGUCCCAAUCUGCCCCUUCCCGGCCCUUGCCGCUGGCCCUCUCCCUAGGUUGCCCCUCCUCAGGUCAGACCCGCGACACGGUCCCCCUGCAGAGCACCGGCCCUCUGGUCCUCUCGUCUCUCCUCGUUUCCUGCCAACCAGACCUUCCCCUUGCGUCUUUCCUGCAGCUACUCUCCUUGGUCCUCUCGGGGGCCAUUCUCUCGUCUUCCUCACCCCCAGCCCUGCGUGGGUAACGACUCCUCAAGCUCCGUUAAAGAAGAUGGUUCCCUUCGUACCUAGAGCUCCGCUCACGUCCCCGCCAGCUCCCCCCCGCUGGCUGCCUGUCCAUCGCCCCGCCUCCCCUCCUGUCCCACCCUGUCAACUCGACCCACCCCCCAGCCUGAACCCCGUCCCCAACACCCACCCCAUCCCUGCCGGAUCCGUAGCGAAGAGCCUGGCCGAAGAGUUCCACCCUUGCCACCACAUUCAAGGCCGCAGGAGCAGCCACUGCUCUCCGCCCACCGCUAGCCACCCCUUCUCCGCUCCUCCUUCCCCAUGCCUCUGCCCCCGUUGGCGGGCCCCCGACGCUCCUCACUUCCAGCCCGCUGGCACCUCCUCCGCCACCUCUCUGGAUGUGGACAUCCACAUCUGCCACCUGCCUCUCAUUUUCGCAAAACCCUCCUGUUGGCGUCCAGCCUGUCUUCCUUCCACCCACUCCACUCUCCAUCCUCUCCUGCGGGGCCCUCCGAAGCCUGUCUGUCUCGGGGAGGUGACGCUCCCGCUGCAGUAGCCUCUCACGUUCAAGCUUCUCCCUUGCGACCUCUCCUCACGGGUCGGGACGGGACGGGACGGGACGGGACGCAUGGCUGCCCUUCCCCUAGUCGGCCCAGCAGAGUGCCCAGCCUCUCCCCUACGGCUCACGCCUCUCCUCUCAGAGCUCCCUAACGCCUGGCAUUGAGUUGUAUUCAGUCAUCUCUUCUCCUUGGGGCUGUGCUCCCUCCCGUGUAGGGCCCUCACUGCUCACGCUCUUUCCAUCCCCUCAGCGGGCCGCGUUCACUCUCCAGAAGCCAUCUGCUGUCUCUCGUCUCGUCCUUCCGCUGGCUCCCCGCCACCGCCUUCCCUGGAGGCUCCCUCUUCCCUAGCCUUGGCCCGUCUCACCUUCCUGCCUCUUCCGUCUUCUUCCCUUUCAUCAAGCCACUGUCUACUGGCCUCUACGCGGUCCCGCCGCUCAGUCCUCCUCCGCUUCCUUCCUUUGCCCCCACGCCUUCCUUCUCUCCUUCUUCGGGACCCAUGCUGCGCCCCUGCCCAUCGCCCUUGCUCUCCUGCUCCCAGUGGGCCAGGUCGGGAUCCACCCCGCUCUGCCCUCUUGCCCUCUUGGGCACGGUCCCCUCACAACACCCACAUGCAGACUUUGAGACGCUCCUCUCGGUCUCCAGCCCUUUCUGCCUUGCCCUCUCUCUGUUGUCCCUUGGCUCCAGCCCGCAGGGCAAGAGCCCCCACCUCCCAGCCCCCACUGUCCCACCCCUCGCUCUCGCUCUCUCCCUCCGCGCCCCUUGGCUGACAACGUCAUCUUCUGCGACACGACCUGUGACCCCACGCUGGUUUGAAGGUCCCCGUCUAUCCGUGCUUGCCUCUGCGGGCUCCUCCCGCCCCGUGCUAGACUACCUCCAUUCCUCUCCGGGUCCCCUGAAAUAGCAGAAGCAGGCAUUUGGCGAUCUUUGCGAACUCUCACCUCCGCCUUGCUUCCUACCUGCUCCUCUGCCAUUUCUAAGCGUGCCUGCCAUCCACACGCUGGACUCCAUGCUCGUGAGUCCAUCCCGAAGGCCCUGACGUGCUUCCUGAGCGGGGUGCCUCGUAACUGCCAGCCUGCCCCGUUUCCUCUGUGUCACUACAGCCACUGUAUCCCCUUUCCGCACCUGUUCCCCAGGGGUCCGGCUCUUCACACCCCCCGGGCCGUGAGUCCUGCCUCCGCGCUCCCGCCCUGCUCCUGCCACGUGGCCUCCAUUCCUCCCCUGCCAAGCCCCUUGCCCAGACAUCGGCCCAUGUCCCAACACCGCACGCUCUUCAGGCUGGCUUCCCCUUUUCCCACCCGGAGUCCCCCGCACGUUCACGAGGUUCCCUCCCCUCUUCAGUCCCGCCUGCCCCUGUCUCUUCCCAUCGGCUAUCCUGACCCCCCACCCACAGCCCGCAGACCACCUGCUCACGGCUGCCCGAGACUCCACUAUCGCCCUCUGCGCACGUCCCUGCUGUGCGGAUUUCAACCCUUCUUGGCCCAUCCUCCUCUUUUUCUCCCACUGUCGUCUCUGAGAGACCCUCGCGUCCUCUUCAGCCACCGUCCUACUCGCCCUCGUAGCUGUCGGGCCCGUGAGGCAGCCACCGUCUUCUCCCAGCAACUUGUGCCCUGGAUGCCCUGCCCUCAUGCUCCCCGCCUUGCCCUCCUCAUCGCCAACGUGCUGUGCCGAAUCCAUCUGCUCUCCCGGUUCGCUCCCAAGGCCCCUACCGUUUUAGCUGCCACCGUUUUUGAGACGGUCACUCCUCCUCUGGGCGUCUCUCUGACCUUUCCCGUCUCCCCGUGCCCCACACUGACAGGGCUGUCUCCAGCACCUUCCAGGCCACUACCACCACCGCCUCAUCCUCCUCCGUUCUCCUCCCUCCCGCCUCUCCUGCGUUCCUUGAUUCCUCGCCCACGCUGUGCUCUGCUCCCGGGUGCGCUUCCUCGGGGCCCUGGUCCACUCACGGGAACACACUUCCUUGAUUCUCCACGUCCAGCCCUUCCUUCGGGCCCUCCGCCGGCCCUCGUGGCCCGGCACGUCCCUGGUCCUCUGUGCAAGCCUCUCCUGUCCCCAGCGGUCAGGCGCCACGGCCUGCCCCUCUCCCGCUUCCGGCCGGCUGGACCGCCUCUCCUCGACCCUACUCUCCCACGUCUUGCACGCUGCUCCCCUCACCUCCUGCCUCCAGGGCCCCAUUUCCUUGCCUCUCCUCUCUGCUCCUCACCUGCCUACACAGCAACGGGACGGGACUGUCCUACCGGAGCCCGCGAACGUUCUUUCAGCUACCCUCUGUGACUCUUCCAGCGGGCCUCAGGACUUGGCGCUGCUGUGUGCUCCAUGCUUAGUCCCUCGCCCCCGGCUCAACCCACUUCGGCCGGUCGUCUUCGCCUCGCACACAACGUACUGAAUGAG